rnacentral:lncRNA from 1 species
UCUCUCUCUCUCUCUCUCUCUCUCGCCGUUGGUCUGUUCAACAUCAUGCCACAUUCCUGGGAUAUUGGGUAAGGGGCUACAUUUGUAAAUGUAAGACAUUUUCUUUGGGUCACUUGAUACAUAUUGUUAUCCAGGGGCCUUUAGUAUGUAAUCUGUUACUGUGGCCCUGGUUCAACAAAACUGGAUCAAAACAGCAAUAUUCUAUCCUGGGAGACAAGCAUGCACAUGAAAUGAGUCCCAGUAAUCGGAUGCUAUUUGCAUCCAUCAGAUACAGUGGAGUUUCUGUAACUCAAGGGCAGGUGGCGAGCUGAGCUGAGGCAGGCUGAGAGAAGACAGAUCAACUCCCCUCCCUCUCAGCCCAUGCUGCAUCAGGAAAGGAGGAGAGGAAGUCAGAGGGGAUUUGUUCACUGACUGGCAGAGCCCUGGUCCAAUCACUGCUCUACUUGCGAACAGUAGUCCAGCAAGCGUGUGUGAACAGUCUCAGCAUGUAGGUAACGGAACUGUCGACUGAGCACUGUGGCUCUCUCCCUGAGCACUCUGGUUCUAUCACUGUGGUUGUCACUCCUUAUGAAAUCAAAUUGCAGGGCUUUAUGCUUCUGCAAGGUUUCACCACUGGAAAUACAGCAUGUUUAACGUAUUCGAUUUGUGCAUUUGAUUUAAUUUAAGGAUACGCUCUGACCUAAUUUGUCUAGUGCACUGGUACAGCAAUGUUGUGCAUGUCUUGGGGGGAGGGAGGAAUUAAAUCAAGAAAUCUUAAUGCUUUACUUAUGGUUUAUAAAUGAGAAGCCUGUGAAAAUGAGCAAUGGCCUUACACAGAUAAACAAGUGCUUGACUAAAAAUGCAGUGUGUCUUCAUGUUUUCCUGUGAGUAACAUAAGCACAUGGACCCCGUUAUGGUCUCCAUACACUCAUGUGUUUCGUAAUGCGUGACAAACAGUAAGUGUAAACAAAAAGUCAUUAGUAACACCUGCUGUAUGUGUAGACAGAGAGCGCUCCACUGUUCAAACAAGUGAGCCCGGGUUGGGGCGAAGAGAGGGACGGAACCUACACUGUUACACAAGGACAACUAAUAUUUAU